rnacentral:rRNA from 1 species
UACGGAGGGUGCAAGCGUUAUCCGGAAUUAUUGGGCGUAAAGAGCUUGUAGGCGGUUUGUCGCGGCUGCUGUGAAAAUCCGGGGCUCAACCCCGGACUUGCAGUGGGUACGGGCAGACUAGAGUGUGGUAGGGGAGACUGGAAUUCCUGGUGUAGCGGUGAAAUGCGCAGAUAUCAGGAGGAACACCGAUGGCGAAGGCAGGUCUCUGGACUGUAACUGACACUGAGGCACGAAAGCGUGGGGAGCAAACAGGAUUAGAUACCCG